UUAUUAAUAAAGAUUUAUAUGUAAAUUGGAGGACCUAUAUGUAAAUAUAGAAAUUACAAGGACUAAACUGCUAAGUUGCAAAAAAGAAAAAAAAAAGGGAAAACCGAAAAUUCGGUAUUAUCCCACCGCCUCCCACGCACUCUGUUUCUUCCAGAAACAGAGAGAGCGGUGGGGCGUGAGGACAAGAAGGAGAGUGGUAGAAGAAGAAGAAGAAGAAGAAGAGAAGAGGAUAGCUGCGGCAAGGCUGCAGCGAGGAGGUGUGUGGGGUUGGGGAGGAAAAGGGAAGAGGAGAAGAAGAGGGAAAAGAGAGGGAAGAGGGAGAGGAGCGAGAGGUGGCAGCAGCUAGGGCUGCAGCACCUCUGUUUCCUGCAGGUGGAAACAGAGGAGAGGUGUGGGGCGUUCGAAGAGGAGAAGAAGAAGAAGAGGAAGAGAAGAGGAAGAGGAAGCAGGGGAAGAGGUUGUGAUACCUCUGUUUCCUGCAGACGAAACAGAGGAGAGGGUGUGGGUGACGUCGGGGAGAAGAAGGGGAGGAAGGAGAAGAAGAGAAGAAGAAGAAAGGAAGGAAAAGGAAGAGGAGAAGGGAAGAAAGUAGCUGCGGCUGCGGUUGUGGCAGCUGCAGCUGUGGCAGGGAAAGAAGAAGAGAAAGGAAGAAGGGAAGGAGAGGAAGAAGAGUAGGGGCUGCGGCUGCGGCGACGGCAGCUGCAGUUGGAAGAGAAGAAGGAGAGGAAGAUGAGCAGGGGAGGAAGAAAAGGCUGUGGCCGUGGCUGAGGCUGCGACUGCAGCAUGCAGCUGGGAAAGAAGAGAAGGAAAGGAAGAAGAAGAGAAAGGAAGAAGGGAAGGAGAGGAAGAAGAGGCUGCGAGUGUGGUGGCUGCGGCCGUGGCUGCGACUCCGGCUGCGGCUGCGACGUUGGCUGCGGUAGCUGCGGCAGCGGUGGUGGCUGCAGUAGCUGCAGUAGCUGCUUUUGGGAAAGAGAAAGAGUAGGAACGAGAGAAGGGAAGAAGGAAAUAGUGCAGUGGAAGGGGGCUGCGGUUGUGACCGCAGUUGCGGUCGUGGCUGCGAUUGUGGCAGCGGCAGCGACGGCGGCUGUGGCAGCUGUGUUUGGGAAAGAAAAAGAAGGAAUGAGAGUAAAAGAGAGCAGGUGACUGUGCCUCGAUGUUCGACACGUGGUGUAAUUGCGAAGAAAGGAAGAAAACGAGAGCACAAAACGAAACAGAGAGAGGACACGGAGGAAAAGUAGAAAGAUUGGAUUGGCACCUUCCUUGGAUAUUCAGAUCAAAAUAUUUGAAAGGUCAGCUUGUCACUCUUCGAGAUGUUUGAUUUGGGCUGAGGCAGUGGAUAGCUAUUCAGAAUAAUGGGCAAGUCUGGUUGGUUAUUACGAUAUUGUUGUAUAAGUAUGUCUUGUAUAUAAUGAAAUGUUGUCGAUGAACCGAAAUGGAUAUACUGUGUCCAAGUGUUAGGAGAUCUCUCUUAUUUGGAAUUUCAGAAUGUUAAGUCUAAUUUAUGGUGAUAUGAACUUGUGGUGAAUAGUUGGAGUUCUGAUUGUAUAAUUUAUUUAGCUUGUGGAUUUAUAAAUGUUGUUCAUUUUUUUGUCAAGUUGGCUUGGGUUGCCAUAAAUGUGAAUUAUCGAGUGAUGUGAUAUAUGAUUUUAAACUGCACAGGUUUUAUGGAUGUGAAUUUGAUUGAAUGUUUUUCAGUGUCCUCAAACGUUAGUUUGGAUCCUGGAUGGAUUGGUUUGUGUUGAAAUUAUUUUAAAAAUCAUGGAUAUUUUGAGGGGCGUGACAGAGGUGGUAUCAGAGCAUUGUUUGAGGAUUACUGAAAUAUUUGAUAUGUUGACAUGCAAAAUAUAUUGAGGUCUAAUGAACUUUAGUGAUUGGUGGAAAUUUUUCUUUGGUGCAUUUUAGGAAUCUAGGAUGAUGAGGACAUUUGGUCCUCCUAUUUCAUUUGUUUCUGAUUAAUUAAGGGGAAUGAAAGGAUUGAUCGGGGAUAUUCAAUCAGAGUGGCGCAGCGGAAGCAUGGUGGACCUAAUUUCAUUGGUGGUAGAAAAAUGAAUGAUGCAAACAGAGAAGAUAUAUGAUGUACAAAAUUGUUCUGAUGAUCGAAAGAUUUCUUUUGCCACCUUAUAUUGGAAAUAGAGGCUGAUCAUUAGUGGCAACAAUGAAAAGAAUUUUUGGAGAUCUGUGGCAAGAAUGAUAAGGAUAAGUUUAGCAAUAAAAAUAUGAUUGGAAAUGAAUCAGAAAGUAAUAACAAGAGGGUCAAGACCUUUGGAUUUGAAAUGGGAAGUCAUCACAAAAGACUCAAUCAUGUGUGAAUUACAAGUUAAAUUAUGAAACAAGUUUGUGCUUUCGGGUGAUUGGAGUCUAUUUUGCUUGUAGAAAGUUGGAUCAUAAAAUAAAAGACUGCCCUUUGAACAAUAAGAAAGAGUCACUGCCUCAUAAAUCAUCAGCCCAUGUCAAAGUGUAUGCUAUCACUGAAUAUGAUUCUGAAACUUAUAAAUCAGUGGUCAAAGGUAUUAUGCAUGUUUAUGAAAGAAUGCAAAUAUUUGUUUGACCAUGGGUCCCAUUUAUGAUUUGAUUCGGAAUAUUUUGCCUAUCACUUGGGUAUUCAACCUAGACCACUACAUUAUGUGCUAUAUGUAAGUACAAUCAUUGGAGAUUCUUUGAUAACGAACUUGAAUCUGGUCCUCUUGUCUGAUUUUUGUUGGAGAACUUGAACUUUUGCUGAUUUAGUUCUCCUAGAGAUUUGGAGUUAUGAUAUUAUACUUGGUAUGGAUUGGCUAUCUUCUUAUCAUACCAGUAUGGAUUGGUAUAUAACCAAUGAUCACUUUUUACAUAUUUGAUCAGCCGAUCUUUUAUUUUGAGAGUAUUGGACAUUAUUUGUCUCCUUGCCUAAUGUAUCCCAGGAUGACUUGUUUGGAUUAUCUCCAAAUGUGAUCUUGCUUUUGAUUUGGUCCUUGGGACAAUCCCAAUAUCUAAGCCUCUCUACAGAAAGAUAUCAUUUGAGUAAGUGGAAUUGGAAAAGCAACUACAAGGAUUAUUAAAUGAGGAUUUUAUUUGGCUUAAUAUUUCAUCAUGGGGUGCUCCGGUGUUAGUUAAAAAGAUGUAUGGAACAUUGAGGCUUUGUAAUGAUUAUAGACAAUUGAAUCAGGUGACAAUCAAAAAUGAGUAUUUCCUGAAGUAACGACUUGUUUGAUUAACUGUAGGGUGCGCAAGUAUUUUUAGAAAAAUUGCUUGAAGGUCGGGUUACCGUCUACUGAGGAUCAAGGAGGAGAAUAUUUCGGUCGCUCGUGGAUAAUUAUGUAAUUGUAUUGUAUUGAUGAAACUAUUUAAGAGUAGGAGGAGGAAAUAGAGAUAUCAUAAUCCUCAUCUUUUCAUCGAUUGAGCUAUUAUCAAUUUAGAGGACUAAAUUUUCUUUUAAGGGGGGGAGAGUGUAAUAUCCCUCGCUUUUAAAAAUUAUUAAUAAAGAUUUAUAUAUAAAUUGGAGGACCUAUAUGUAAAUAUAGAAAUUACAAGGACUAAACUGCUAAGUUGCAAAAAAGAAAAAAAAAAGGGAAAACCGAAAAUUCGGUAUUAUCCCACCGCCUCCCACGCACUCUGUUUCUUCCAGAAACAGAGAGAGCGGUGGGGCGUGAGGACAAGAAGGAGAGUGGUAGAAGAAGAAGAAGAAGAAGAAGAGAAGAGGAUAGCUGCGGCAAGGCUGCAGCGAGGAGGUGUGUGGGGUUGGGGAGGAAAAGGGAAGAGGAGAAGAAGAGGGAAAAGAGAGGGAAGAGGGAGAGGAGCGAGAGGUGGCAGCAGCUAGGGCUGCAGCACCUCUGUUUCCUGCAGGUGGAAACAGAGGAGAGGUGUGGGGCGUUCGAAGAGGAGAAGAAGAAGAAGAGGAAGAGAAGAGGAAGAGGAAGCAGGGGAAGAGGUUGUGAUACCUCUGUUUCCUGCAGACGAAACAGAGGAGAGGGUGUGGGUGACGUCGGGGAGAAGAAGGGGAGGAAGGAGAAGAAGAGAAGAAGAAGAAAGGAAGGAAAAGGAAGAGGAGAAGGGAAGAAAGUAGCUGCGGCUGCGGUUGUGGCAGCUGCAGCUGUGGCAGGGAAAGAAGAAGAGAAAGGAAGAAGGGAAGGAGAGGAAGAAGAGUAGGGGCUGCGGCUGCGGCGACGGCAGCUGCAGUUGGAAGAGAAGAAGGAGAGGAAGAUGAGCAGGGGAGGAAGAAAAGGCUGUGGCCGUGGCUGAGGCUGCGACUGCAGCAUGCAGCUGGGAAAGAAGAGAAGGAAAGGAAGAAGAAGAGAAAGGAAGAAGGGAAGGAGAGGAAGAAGAGGCUGCGAGUGUGGUGGCUGCGGCCGUGGCUGCGACUCCGGCUGCGGCUGCGACGUUGGCUGCGGUAGCUGCGGCAGCGGUGGUGGCUGCAGUAGCUGCAGUAGCUGCUUUUGGGAAAGAGAAAGAGUAGGAACGAGAGAAGGGAAGAAGGAAAUAGUGCAGUGGAAGGGGGCUGCGGUUGUGACCGCAGUUGCGGUCGUGGCUGCGAUUGUGGCAGCGGCAGCGACGGCGGCUGUGGCAGCUGUGUUUGGGAAAGAAAAAGAAGGAAUGAGAGUAAAAGAGAGCAGGUGACUGUGCCUCGAUGUUCGACACGUGGUGUAAUUGCGAAGAAAGGAAGAAAACGAGAGCACAAAACGAAACAGAGAGAGGACACGGAGGAAAAGUAGAAAGAUUGGAUUGGCACCUUCCUUGGAUAUUCAGAUCAAAAUAUUUGAAAGGUCAGCUUGUCACUCUUCGAGAUGUUUGAUUUGGGCUGAGGCAGUGGAUAGCUAUUCAGAAUAAUGGGCAAGUCUGGUUGGUUAUUACGAUAUUGUUGUAUAAGUAUGUCUUGUAUAUAAUGAAAUGUUGUCGAUGAACCGAAAUGGAUAUACUGUGUCCAAGUGUUAGGAGAUCUCUCUUAUUUGGAAUUUCAGAAUGUUAAGUCUAAUUUAUGGUGAUAUGAACUUGUGGUGAAUAGUUGGAGUUCUGAUUGUAUAAUUUAUUUAGCUUGUGGAUUUAUAAAUGUUGUUCAUUUUUUUGUCAAGUUGGCUUGGGUUGCCAUAAAUGUGAA